GAUGAAGAACGUAGCGAAAUGCGAUAAGUAGUGUGAAUUGCAGAAUUCAGUGAAUCAUCGAAUCUUUGAACGCACAUUGCGCCCCUUGGUAUCCCGAGGGGCAUGCCUGUUCGAGCGUCAUUUCACCACUCAAGCCUGGCUUGGUGUUGGGCGACGUCCCCUUUGGGGACGCGCCUCGAAACGCUCGGCGGCGUGGCACCGGCUUUAAGCGUAGCAGAAUCUUUCGCUUUGGAAGUCGGGGCCCCGUCUGCCGGAAGACCUACUCGCAAGGUUGACCUCGGAUUAGGCAGGGAUACCCGCUGAACUUAAGCAUAUCAAUAAGCGGAGGA
rnacentral:misc_RNA from 1 species